rnacentral:piRNA from 1 species
UGCCAGAUGAUUGAAGCCUACCAAGUUCU